rnacentral:rRNA from 1 species
GACGAACGCUGGCGGCGUGCUUAACACAUGCAAGUCGAACGAAGAGCGAUGGAAGCUUGCUUCUAUCAAUCUUAGUGGCGAACGGGUGAGUAACGCGUAAUCAACCUGCCCUUCAGAGGGGGACAACAGUUGGAAACGACUGCUAAUACCGCAUACGAUCUAAUCUCGGCAUCGAGGAUAGAUGAAAGGUGGCCUCUACAUGUAAGCUAUCACUGAAGGAGGGGAUUGCGUCUGAUUAGCUAGUUGGAGGGGUAACGGCCCACCAAGGCGAUGAUCAGUAGCCGGUCGGAGAGGAUGAACGGCCACAUUGGGACUGAGACACGGCCCAGACUCCUACGGGAGGCAGCAGGGGGGAAUCUUCCGCAAUGGACGAAAGUCUGACGGAGCAACGCCGCGUGAGUGAUGACGGCCUUCGGGUUGUAAAGCUCUGUUAAUCGGGACGAAAGGCCUUCUUGCGAAUAGUGAGAAGGAUUGACGGUACCGGAAUAGAAAGCCACGGCUAACUACGUG